rnacentral:rRNA from 1 species
CCUACGGGAGGCAGCAGUGGGGAAUAUUGCACAAUGGGGGAAACCCUGAUGCAGCGACGCCGCGUGAGUGAAGAAGUAAUUCGGUAUGUAAAGCUCUAUCAGCAGGGAAGAAAAUGACGGUACCUGAGUAAGAAGCCCCGGCUAACUACGUGCCAGCAGCCGCGGUAAUACGGAGGGGGCAAGCGUUAUCCGGAUUUACUGGGUGUAAAGGGAGCGUAGACGGCAGUGCAAGUCUGGAGUGAAAGGCGGGGGCUCAACCCCCGGACUGCUCUGGAAACUGUACGGCUGGAGUGCAGGAGAGGUAAGUGGAAUUCCUAGUGUAGCGGUGAAAUGCGUAGAGAUUAGGAGGAACACCAGUGGCGAAGGCGGCUUACUGGACUGUAACUGACGUUGAGGCUCGAAAGCGUGGGGAGCAAACAGGAUUAGAUACCCCUGUAGUC